rnacentral:lncRNA from 10 species
AGAACUUGGAUUACUGUCAGCUUCUAGUGUCUCCAUCAUUCAUAAUUGCACUGUGUUGGUCCACCCACUUUACUCCUAAAGAAGAGGCAAGAAAAGAAAGCAAUGCAAAAAGAACGGUACUAUUAUCUCAAUUUUAGAGAUGGAAAAACUAAGCAACAAGUAGUUACAGAAGUUGUCCAGGAUCGCACAGUUAGACAACGGCAGUCAAGUUCUGGACCACUCUUCUAGGCUACCUCUCCAGGAUGGAAGACACUAUCUUUUCAGGUUUCCAUUCAAUAGGAAAGUCAUCUUGAAGAAGUUUGAUGUUGGAUUUGAUUUUGAAAGACGAAUUGGAGAUUAAGAAGUGGUAAUAAGAGUAAAGAAAAAAACCCAAAUAGAAUUACAAGCACAAAGAGAUGUAGAAAUAAAUAUUUCUUGGAAAGAUAAGCUUAAAAGGCCUUCCUCACUUACUCCAAGGGUAUCAACGAAAGGAGAUUUCCCUUUCAAUCUUACUGGUGACAAA